ensembl:lncRNA
AAAAAACUUCCUGUUUGCACCCUAAUGGGCUACCCCCAAAUAAGAGGGUUGCAGAAAGUGAGAAUACCUGACAGUUUCCAAAGGGGGAUGACAAGAUCUUGGACACUACUCUCAAAGGCACAUUGUCCGAAAAGAAGAAUUAUGGGGCCUAAAGGCAUGGGGAGAAGCUCUGCUCUUCUACUCAUGGUUAUGACAGUGACCCAAACCAGCAAGAGAUAGUUAUAGAAGAUGGACCUUCACCCCUAAUUGCCCCUCAAGAAGGAAGAAUAAGACACAGGGCCAAGGAAGGAUUAAAACUCAUUAUCAGGUCCUGGGAAAUAGAAUCUGAUAAUAAAAUCGAAUCGUUUUUUCCUUUGUGCUUAGUUUCACUUGAUCGAAGGGUACUGCGUGCAGCGGCCUUCUACCCAGCAAUUCAGAUGAGAGUUCCUAGUGUGAAGCGGCUGCACCUGAUACUUGAGCUUGGCGUAGGUCUUGCAGAAGCUCUGCGCAUGACACCAGGGAUCGGCAGACCAAUGCGCGCCCAGCACGGUGAUCUGAGGCUUGAGCAGUGACACAGACGCUCACGCACACGCACACGCACACGCACACGCGCACACCCUCAGACGCACAAGAGCUCCGCCCCUUUCCGCUGACAGAAACAUAAAACCUUGCGUUUGGCUAUUACCUGUGUUCUUUCCUGAGGAGCCUGGGGUCUCGCACCUCUCCAUUCUUUGAUGAAGAACGAAACUUUCCUUCACUUCCGAACCGAACUCGGCCUGGUACUAUGGGCGACUGUGAGAAGUGGGGACCCCUACACCCUGUUUCUUCCUUCAGGAGUCUACAAAUUCUAACCACAUCCUCACUGAAGAUACAACUGGGAAAGAGCUGCUCUGUCUAGAAACCUAUCUUCGUUCAUUUGUUGGUACUGCUUCAUGCAGGUGGCAUAAGGUCGUCCCAGUGCACCAGCCCCAAGCAUCCAGUAUCCUGCAUCGAACCUGGACUGGCGACUCAUUUCAUAUAUGAUAUUAUACAUAUGUCAAUGCCAUUCUCCCAAAUCAUCCCACCCUCUCCCUCUCCCACAGUGCUCUUCUUAUCUUAACAUAUCUAAUACACUCCCCAAAGAGCUUUCUUUGGGAUACAUGAAAUAUUUCCCAUUUUUAUAAGUUUGAUAAUACAAAAGUACAAAAAGCACAAACAAAUUCCAACAUUGAUGGACACAAAACCAAAACAAAGCCAUGACAAAAAUCAUCAAACUGGUUCCCAACUUGGGUAGACUUACCACACAAAAACAGUGAAUUAAAAAAAAAAAAAAUGCGUUAGUUCUGAACAAGCUGGUUCUAACUCAUGUUACACUCCAAUGACAACUCCCCUCUCUAGCAAAGUGCCCCAACCAAAUUGACUUAUCCCAAAAAGGAAAAGCUGAAAUUUAGGGGAGAAUAUGUUCCUAGCUCCACACAAGAGGAGCUACCCACAAGAGCAACUUAACCUACAAAAUCAAGUCUGUAGACUUGCAACACAAAAGGACAUACAAAACCAAGACAUAAC